UAACAUCUGCAAAGUUGCCCCCCUCCCGGGCCGGCGAUUCAGGACUGUAGCCGGCGGCUUCACGAGCGACCCUAACCAAAUGGUGCUGGCCCUCAACCUCCCCCUCAAACGCUCGACCAGCCGCCCAAAACUCUUCAAGCACGACCAGCCUGGCCUCCGCAUACAACCAUAUCUCGUGUGCCUCACGAUACGCGUCGGCCGGAGCAAGG
rnacentral:lncRNA from 1 species